UGGGGUGUAGCUCAUUUGUAGAGCGCUCGCUUCGCAUGCGAGAGGUACGGGGUUCAAUUCCCCGCACCUCCA
rnacentral:tRNA from 1 species